CAGCAGCCACGGUAAUACGUAGGGUGCAAGCGUUAAUCGGAAUUACUGGGCGUAAAGCGUGCGCAGGCGGUUAUAUAAGACAGAUGUGAAAUCCCCGGGCUCAACCUGGGAACUGCAUUUGUGACUGUAUAGCUAGAGUACGGCAGAGGGGGAUGGAAUUCCGCGUGUAGCAGUGAAAUGCGUAGAUAUGCGGAGGAACACCGAUGGCGAAGUCAAUCCCCUGGGCCUGUACUGACGCUCAUGCACGAAAGCGUGGGGAGCAAACAGGAUUAGAGACCCCUGUAGUCCCUGUCUCUUAUAC
rnacentral:rRNA from 1 species